CGUCAUCACAGGUCAAUUAGGUAUGCCUUCACCGAAUCGUCCAAUGCAUGAUUUGUUUGAUCGAGAAUUGCAAAGUGAACAACAGUACAAUAUCAAUAAAUUGCAAACAUUUGUGAAUUGGAAUUUACCCAAAUUGAACGACCAACAAAAACAUGUUUACGAUAACUUUAUGCAAGCAGUACAAAAUGAUGUUGGUGGAUUGUAUUUUUUGGAUGCAACAGGAGGAAUUGCGCUACUUUAUUGGAUGGUGGACGAACAGCACACUCAGCAAUAAACUGCCGUUAAGUGUGCAGGCGAUUGACAAUCCCACAUGCAACAUAUCAAGAAAUUCUGCAAAGGCAAAAGUUUUGCAGCAUGCAUCAUUUAUUCUAUUGGAUUAAUGUACAAUGACCCAUAAAAAAUAUCUGGAAGCAUUAAACAGAACAAUGCAAGAUCUACGUCGCAAUCAACAAAUUUUUGGUGGUGCACUAAUAUUUUUGUCAGGAGAUUUCCGACAAACAUUGCCCGUCAUUCCACGUGCAACGUUAGCGGAUCAGGUCAAUGCAUGAAUUUUAAGACUGCAUGCGGCGAAGCGCAUAGGGCCCACUAGUGUAUGUAUAAUUCCAUUAGCAUGUCUAGUAACAUCCAGGAUCCAACGCGUCGAGAACAUAGUUCCUGCAUUUUCUUUAUAUAUUUUAUAUAUACAUAUAUUCUCGUUUUC